rnacentral:ncRNA from 1 species
GGUAAAGCGUAAAAGAGCGUAGAGUGAAUGCCUUGGCAUUGGGAGCCGAUGAAGGACGUGGUUAACUGCGAAAAGCUACGGGGAGUCGUAAGCAGACAUUGAUCCGUAGAUGUCCGAAUGGAGCAAUCCGCAUGGAGUUAGUCCAUGCAUCCAUAAGUGAAUUCAUAGCUUAUGGAGGGGAACUGCCUGAACUGAAACAUCUAAGUAGGGCGAGGAAGAGAAAUCAAACGAGAUUUCGUAAGUAGUGGCGAGCG